rnacentral:rRNA from 1 species
GAUGAACGCUAGCGGCAGGCCUAACACAUGCAAGUCGAGGGGUAGAACACUUCGGUGUUUGAGACCGGCGCACGGGUGCGUAACGCGUAUGCAAUCCACCUUGUACAGGGGAAUAGCCCAGAGAAAUUUGGAUUAAUGCCCCAUAGUAUAUAACCUUCGCAUGUUGGUUAUAUUAAAGUUCCAACGGUACAAGAUGAGCAUGCGUCCCAUUAGUUAGUUGGUAAGGUAACGGCUUACCAAGACGAUGAUGGGUAGGGGUCCUGAGAGGGAGAUCCCCCACACUGGUACUGAGACACGGGCCCGACUCCUACGGGAGGCAGCAGUAAGGAAUAUUGGACAAUGGACGCAAGUCUGAUCCAGCCAUGCCGCGUGAAGGAUUAAGGUCCUCUGGAUUGUAAACUUCUUUUAUAAGGGACGAAAAAAGGCUUUUCUAAGUCGUCUGACGGUACCUUAUGAAUAAGCACCGGCUAACUCCGUGCCAGCCGCCGCAGUAACAC